rnacentral:rRNA from 2 species
GGCAAGACCAAUGCGGUCAAGCUACAAAGGGCUGACGGAGGAUACCUAGGCACACAGAGGCGAGG